rnacentral:lncRNA from 1 species
CGAGACGUUUAUGCCACGCUCGAUAAUCAACAUGAGCAGAAUUACAAGUGACAAAGGGCAAAGAAAAAUGAGACAAAGGAAAUUGAAGAGGAAAAAGACGUCCCACUUUAGGCCCCCUCGCGAUCAUCCUCCCUGACUGUUGAUCCUGCACAACACAACCAGAUUUGGAAAAUUCCAGUUUACAAUCAUUUUCAACCAACUGACCGACAGACACAAGAUUGGUGGUAAGACCAGGUGAUACAAAAACAUCGGUGAGAGAAGGAGAAACAUCACCAGUGGCCGUGAUAGGUAAAUGACUGCCAUCAGCAGUAUGAAUUUGGAGAUUUCCAAAAUAUUUGUUGACAUUGGUAAGAGAAGCAGUAUUGUUUGUCAUAUGAUUGGAAGCCGCGGAAUCAAAAUACCAAGGAGAUGAUGUAGAAAGAUUUUUACCUGAGAGCCCUAAAGCUGAAAAUGCAGAAAUGAUCAUUUGUUGAAUCAUGGCAGGAGUCACGGAUUGGACAGGAGUAGGAGCACUUUGUGUCAGAGGUGAAGAGCCAACUGAGACAGUAUAUACUGUCUCUGUUUUCUU